AUGGCUGCGGCUGAGCAACAGUUGUUUAAAACGGCCUCGGCUGCAACAAUGAAUUAGUUAGACUUGGCUUUUUAAUCUAUAAGAGGAACAGAAGACAGCGCUCAAAUUGUUCCUUUGCAAGAAGGCCUCAUGCUGUUUUGCUGA